GGGGGAAGGGGAGGCUGCGGGGAACGCGGCCCGGCCGCAUCUCUGUCCCCCUCGCAGGCGGCGGCUCGGGAGGAAGCCCAGAGCGGGACGGGCGGGCGACGGCUCGGCCGCACGGCGGGGCAGGAAGGCUUUCGGGAGGCUGAAGCACCACCACCGCCGCGAUUACCACCUCUCGGCCCUCUCCAGCUCGGUGUUCCCGGGGGCGUUCGCGGGCUGCAAUAACGCGGCCUUCCAAAGGAGCCCCGAUCACCUGCCCCACUGCGGCUCGCACCCCGGAUCGUGGCCGUGGCCGCAGCCGGCAUCGCGGCCGCACGCGGCGCCCCGCAGCCCGCCGAGCCUCCGGCACCACUGGCUGCAGCCGCCCCCCGGGCCUGGGCGCUUCGACCGGCCCCGCGUCCUGCCCCCCGGCUGCUACCGAAGCUAUGCGGAACACAAGCUCUCAAACACGUGCGGAAGGCCCGUUUGAAAGACGAAGCCGCCAUUCAACUUUUUUUCUUUUCCCCUCCUCCCUUUCUUCAUUUCCGGACAUCAAUUCCUUGAAACACUGCAGGGCUCGGGAAAGAGUUCGCAAGAGCCAAUUACCACACCUGGGUUUUCAAACAGAGGAAAGUGGACGUUUCACAUGGAAAGGCUUUCUUGAUACAAUCCUUUUAUUCCCCCUCUCUGUCCAGAAGGGGAAUGAUUUUAUACUGAGACAGGGGAGGUUUAGGUUGGAUAUUAGGAAGAAGUUUUUCACACAGAGGGCGGUGACGCACUGAACAGGUUGCCCAAGGAGGCUGUGGAUGCCCCAUCCCUGCAGGCAUUCAAGGCCAGGCUGGAUGUGGCUCUGGGGAGCCUGGUCUGCUGGUUGGCGACCCUGCACACAGCAGGGGGGUUGAAACUCAAUCAUCAUUGUGGUCGUCUUCAACUCAGGCCAUUCUAUGGCUCUAUGAUUCUCAGCUGAUCAUUCAGGGGCAAUGCCUAAAGCCAGGUGGAACCUUGGCCCUACUUGAAGCUGUAGGCAGGUGUAGACCUCCCUGUUUUAAACACAGAGGUCAGUUUUUCUGCUUAGGGCUCUUGUAAAGGCUGAGUGAACGCUGCCAGGUACCAGAACAAGGACUGUAUAUCAUGAGAUGAUUCUAAGUAUUUGCAAGUUGUUGCACUUGUUGCGAUUUAAAGGGUUUUGGCGGUGGUUGUUGUAGCUCAGAACAUGCACCAUCCUCCUAUCCCUGCAAACAGUAUUGGACUUGCAAGAUGCAAUGACAAGUGUGUAAAGAUAACCAGCCAAGAGGAAAACAUGAAUUUAUCUUCAAUACAAAAGACCCAGCACCUUUAGAAAUAAUAAUAUAAUAAUAAACAACUAGGGGCUUUUCAUCCCUUCAUCUCCUGCAUUAGAAAUUCACAUCACACACAUCAGGACCUGCUGCUAAGUGCCAUAGGUUGCAUCCAGAAGACACCACCACUCAUUUUCCUGCCCAGCAGCACACACAGAGCGGGGCCAACAGCAUCAGAACAGACCUGGCCAUACUUGACAUGCUUGAUGCAUGCAGGGCAUACGGGCUCGAGGAACACAAGCACACAGGGAUGCUGAGAAGCCACUACUGACUGCAUUAUGAAGAGGUGCUGACAGCCCCAGAGCUGCUGGGUGUGCAGGGCAGGGACAAAGAGAGCACCCAGAACACAAUGCACCAGCAUCGCGAUCCAGCGCUCAUGGUUACAAACCGUGAUACUCAAACUGUCCUGUUGCAAAGGCUGCAAGUUUUGGGAUGCCACCUUGGUUUCCAUCAACGUUUGUAUUAUAUUAGGACUUCCUUCCUUGAAAGGACAGAAGGUAGAACAUCCUUGCGAUAAAGGUAAGACCCACUAGCAGACAUCCCUGGUAGCACUGCUGCACAGAGGUUGAGGGACACUUUCUCUAAUAAAGGUGUCUCUCCCCAUUCCACCUCCCGUGUCUUCUUUUCACACCACCAGGUGCCAGCAAGGGCUGCGGGCUGGAUGGUGGAUGGUGGCGGGGAGCCAGCAGCUCUAACAGCUUCCACAGAUCCCCUUCAGAAGAGCAUGCCACCUGCAGCAGACACUCAGUAGAAGCCACACCACAAGAAGGAAAAGCCUUUCAUUCCCACAUAACAAGCAAAGCUGCAGAAAGCACGGGACAAACAAGACCAUCACUGCAGGCUGCAGCGAUGCACAUUUUAGAUAUCUUUUGCUGACUGUAAUAACCCAUGCCCAGAAAGAUGCCGAUUUGGAAAUGCCAUAACACAAAGUUAGCAUUUGCAAUAAAAAUAUGACAGAGUACUUUUUCCUCACUGAGAAAAAUGUCCACUUGAAGCAAGCAUUUUUAUAUGACUAUGAUAUAUUAAAAAAAGAAAAAAAAAAAGUAUUAAUCUGAUAAAACUGAAUAGUUUCCUUGGGGGUUACUUCUGUGUGUGUGUGAAAAGUUAAGAUUUCUAUCAGAGAAAUUUGAUCCCAAGCCCAUGGCAGUGUAAGCUCCAAGAGCAGAUCAUCAGUGGGGAGGAACCUGCAGGCCAUCUUUGAAGUCUGUCUCAGACUGGCAGGAGACUGAAGCCAAUGGGAGGAAGAUGGGGUAAGGGCAGGAAGCCCAACUCCCUGUCAUUCACUCAGUCUUUACCACGGUUCCUUCACACCUUGCCUCAGCCCAGCAAAGAGCUAAGAUUGUGAAGAGCCGUGAUCAGCUUUGCCUUAGGAAGGUGCCAUCGGUGAGGCAACAGGAAUCACCAUUUGUCAGAAGAGGAAGGAGAAGGAAGGUAGCUGUGUACAAACUUCAGGUAAUUUGUGAACAGAAAGAAAAAGCAACUCACAAGCCUGUAAUCCCACACCUUCUCACCACCCUUUGGAGCCACCAUCUAAAUAACACUUCUUCACCAGAGAGCGUAUGUGGGGCUGCUGUUCCCAAGAGAAGCUUCCUCCAGCUUUCUCUGCACCAGGGAACAGGGCUUCCAGACAAGAUCCUGGUCUCCCAGAGGUUUAGUUAUAAUAUUUUACGCAAUAUUCAAUACAAAGGUGGGCCACGGAACUGGAGGAAACCAUCUGAAGAGUGACGGAGUUGGCUGCAAGGUUGUAGUGCCAAUUUCUGCCCCAAACAAACUUCCCCAUCAGUUGCUUACUGUCUGAACAAACAGAAUGCAUCCUCAGUUUUUGAUAACAAGGCGUUAAGGAUAACACUCCACACUGUGAAACCUCAGCCUGCAUGCUUGCUUAGAAAUAGUUAAAACAAGUUUUGGUCAAAACUUUACAUUCCUCAGAUAAGCUCAGCUUAUCAGCCUUCUGUGGACUGUCAGCACUGGCAGAAGAGGUUUCAGACCUUCUCUGAAGAACUGGGCAAGAUUAGUAUUAAGACCUGUAACAUUCAGGUGCUAAAGCUAUGAAGUGUCAGGAAGCAUUCUUUGUGAUCCCGAAACGAACAGCAACACUCUGCCAAUACAAGCUUUCCGGACUGCUGCUCCAAGCGCCACUGCCCUGGUAGUGCCACAUCCAGUAUCACCACAUCAGCUCCACCCUGAACUGUUUUCAUCACAUACUACACAAACCUAACAGCAGUAAGCCAAGGGCAGACUCCAGGAGGAAGGGAAGAUGAAGAUCUCACUCUUAAGUGCUGUAUAUGAGAUCAAAGCGUACUGAGUUUAUACCGUUUCUUACACUGUACCCCAAAGCUCUGGUGAUACUUCAUCUUUUUCGUGCUUGGUUUACAGCAAAAGCCAUAGAUAGGAAAGGACCAGAGAGCUGCUUCCCAUCAGUAGGAUGUUCCAAAGCAGGGAAAAAGAGGUGCUGGGAUUGAGGAGGUAAGGAAGGAGCACAAGUUUUUACAGUUACUACCUGCAUGUUCAACAGCAGUGACUGAUAAUACAUCACUGGAAGACAUUCCUAUAACUAGCUGCAGAGUUGCACAGUGCUGGAGGCUGUAAAGUAGCACUAUCCUUAGCAGACAAGCAUUCACAGCAAACAGCACUUCACACCUCUCUACUCUGCACACACUAGGAAUUCCUGUCUGCUGGCAUUCACUUACCUCAGGGGUUAGGAGUACCUAUAGCCCCUUCAGGUGGGAUGGGUGACAGCUCCAGGGCCCUGACCUUGAAGCACUGUGCCACCUCUCAAAGCGCAACAUACCUCAGUUCUGAGCAGUACGAGCUUGUAUUUGAGCACUACAGCUUUCCCCAAAAGGAUUAGUCCUAGGCACCACAGCACCCACCAUCCAUGGGUUUAUAUAUGCUCCUAAGCUCCCUUGCAACUUAUGGCCAUUUCCCUGCAUCCUGACGAGAGGAACAAACAAGAACUGUUCUGCAAUCUUUUUAGGUGCGUUUUCCAAGCUCUCUUGCAAGGGUGAGGGAGAAAUCAGUGCAUGUCCGCCAUCCCAGGGGAAGAUACGUUCAAGCCAGAAGUCCUCUACAGCCCACUCUACAGAACUAUACAUUGCUGCACUUUCCCUGAAAUUCUGCAUCUUCAGUAUCUCUGAUUAAAUGAGCAUCUUGGAUAAGAGCUAUGAUGAGGGAAGGGAAAACAAAAACUAAGAGUUUAAGAACUUAGAAUACAAACUGAUCAAGUUUAUGAUUUAGAACUGUCAUGGAAGUUGGCAAUAGUGUUUUAAGCAUAGCUAGAGCAGCACUGUUGUGACACUGCAUUGGGAAGGACAAGUGCUUACACUUGCCAGGCAAGUAUGUUAGUUAUACAUAGAAAAGGAAUUCAUGCAAGGGCUCUUCAUCUUAUCUAGGAGGCGACAUUAUACUCCCUGCUGUCACUCCAGACAGAUGCAAUUUCCUUAUAAGAUGAUGAUGAUUACUUUUUAAACCAACCUGCAGCAUCAACCCAGCACUGCUGGCCCCAGAAUUACUACAACUGAACAGAGAAUUCUCUGAAAACGCAGCAGAACUUCUGGUACCAAUGCAUUCAUGGCUAACAACUCCCUUCCUUCCUUUAACAUGCAUUCAUACUCAUUUUGGAGGCAUGUGAUCCACUCGCUCUUUCUCCAAGUUCAACUCCACCACCACCCUGUUAGCCGAGCACUGUUCUUGUGAUCACGCAAGAAAGUGCUGAAGAUGUUCAUAAUACACAGAAGAAAGACAGGCCACACACUGAGUUGAUUACACAUAUGAAGCAGACACAUGAACUUCCUCCUUUCAAUAAAGUGCCUGUACAGAACUUCUUGCAGUAGGAACAAAUGGUCCAUAUACAACAAAAACCUCAGGAGAAGCCAACGGAGUCCCACACAGUAGAACAGAGUGAAAUGCCAGGUUGUUUUGUAAGCAGGGGUGCAGGAAUCAGCACCAGGUAGCACACAGAAAUAAGCUAACAGGAGCACAAGCCACCACACCAUCCAUCUGAACACUUAUGCAUUUUAAUGCAUAUAUAAUGCAUUAUAAUGUGACCCAACAAGAACUCCUUUUUGGGAUAGGGUAGCACCAGAGAGAAAUGUCAUUCUAGUUAUGACUCUUCCUCUAAUCUAGAAACUUGUCAGCAGGGCAACGACAAGCUGUCAUACAGCUCUCUCCUGAACAGCUGAAUCCUGCGCUUAGAGGCAACAGACCACAGGCACAGUCUUCUUCCAGUGCCUCUUGAACUGCGGCAAGGAGACACAUCAAGAAACAACGAAGAUAACAAGUUUCAGGAUUGCUGUGCGAAACAGGAAGCAAAUCGCAGCUACUUCAGGAGGCUUAUUUGCAGGGUCAGGAAGAGAAUUCUUCUCCCUAACAUGGAGCAGCAAGCAUUUCAUGUUACUCAGCAGCGAAUUUCAUGUUACUUUUCAGCAGCGAAUGUGCAGGGCUGACUGGGACACAAACACUUCCUUUGUUCUGGGGGUGCUGGCAUGAGCAGGGUGCAAGGAUGUUUCCAAGUAACCAGGGCACAGGACUGAUGUGCUGCAAAAAUGCCUGCCCAGACAGAGCACAUUCAGUUUGGUUAACAGGCAAUGAGUACAGUGCUUCUCCUACCUGUACUACUGUUGGGCAGAAGUACACAACGCCCACCAAGCAACGCUGUAUAAAGCAAAGUAUUUCUUGUAAUCUCAUGUAGACUCAACAGCUGAUGCGAGGAGGCCGGAUUCCCCUGCCAGCCCAGGGUUUAAGGCUCUGCUCUCAGUCCCGUGGCAACAGCAAACAUUUUGGGAAGGCAGCCAGACCAAAGCUAUACAGGUGAGAAAUCCUUCUGCUCAGGCAUUUCUAGCAGUUCUGGCUCCCAGCCAUUCCCAUGAGCUGGGCUCUGAAAGACUCAGUGCAGCACCUCAGUCACAAGGCUGCUGGUUUUAUGUAUCAGAGCAGGUCUCCAGCUGAACUGUAAGAGCUUGUUGGAGGUCUUCUGUAGGCUGACUUCAGGCCCUGGUGGACAAUGAAAAUACUUCACACCUUUGUUGAAAACAAAGAUGCUGAAAGAUACAAGUUCUAACUAGAAAUCUCAUAAUGUGUUGAUGCAUUAUUAUAUUCUAUCUGCCCCAAGUGACGUGGUAUAUCCAACUGAGAAAGCGUAAACUUAACUGUUCCAUGCUUCAGAUUUAAAAUGAUGCCAACAAAGGUUAAAGGCAUUCUCCAGCUAUUAUGACAAGUAAAGACUACAGAAUCCCUUUAGAAAUUUAACAAUUCUAUGCUUUUUCCAUCCUUUGGUACAAAAGUCAUCAUACAGUGCAGAUUUCAAUGAAAAACUCACUCCAAUUCAGAUGAGCAGGAGGAAGAAACCAUGCAAGAACAUACAAUUUUACCAGAUGCAACACUUCAAAAUCCAAGUUUGUCGUAAAAAAAAGAAAAGCCAACACGAAGUCAUCAUCAAGUUCUCUGUUUUAUUUAAGAUUUUAGUUUUAAUUCUGAAGAAAGAGGUACAUUUCCUUGGUUUUAGUUUUAGCGUCAGGUUAUAACCAUGUUUAUCUGUUUCUUUUUCCUGUCUUUUCAAUACUGCACAAACGUCCAGAAACUACAGG